rnacentral:rRNA from 1 species
UACGGAGGAGGCAAGCGUUAUCCGGAAUUAUUGGGCGUAAAGCGUCCGUAGGUGGUUUAUCAAGUCAGUUGUUAAAGCGUAGAGCUUAACUCUAUAAGGGCAAUUGAAACUGGUAGGCUAGAGUGCGAUAGGGGCAAGGGGAAUUCCCAGUGUAGCGGUGAAAUGCGUAGAUAUUGGGAAGAACAUCGGUGGCGAAAGCGCCUUGCUGGGUCUGCACUGACACUGAGGGACGAAAGCUAGGGGAGCGAAAGGG